CUCUCCUCCCUCCCCCUCCCCAGCUGAUCUGUUUGCCCUUCUCUCAGCUGUCCCUGGCUCCGGGGCCUGGCCUGAGUUCCUCCUGUCUGGUAAAUGUACUAAAUCAGCGCCUUUUCUGCUUUCAUCGGAUUUGCGCUCAGCACACCCUUGUCCAGAGCUGGCUCAGAGCUCACCCUGCCUCCUGUGCCAAUUACCUCUAGAGAAAGCGAGCCAGCUAUGCUUGAGUGCCUCCCAAAGCCCACUCAGCAGGUUCUUUGAUUCCAUGAGCCUUGCUGGAGGGAGUGUGUAAGGAGAUGCAGACGGACACCGGACAAGCCCUGACAUAAAGAAUGUGGCGGGCAAAGGGAAGUGGCAGAGAGAGUCCUCACACGGACUCUACAUCUGAUUGCAGCCUUCCUGGUUCAGCCCCGAGAUGGAAGGGGUCUCUCACUUCUGAUCCAUUUGACAGUAAGCUCAUGACCCUCGUCUGUUUGCAUCAAAAUUGGCUCCUCAGUGGUCUUUGGGGUCCCUGAGACUUGGGCGUAACAAGGCCACUGGCCAUGUUUAGUCUGCUAUUUUGUCUUCCUGCUCUGGACUCUUCCAGAUGUCUCUGAUCCCGUUCUCCCUUAUAUCUACUACAACAGUGACCCUUCUCCUCAACCACACCUUGGAACAGUCAUUUCCUCACUUCACGCACUGAUUGAAUGGGCAAACACCAGAUUUCACAGGUCCACGCUGAGGAUUUCAACAGAUCUCCUAGGGAACACAGCGAGGCCUGUAACAAGUGAUAAACAUGUGAAGUGAGCCUGCGACUGUCAGACCCAGGAUAGAAGGGCCAGUGGCUGGAUUGCAGAGUGAAGGGAUGGGGACAGGGAGCGUUUGCAGCCUUUGUGGUAGAGGCCACACUCCAUUCCUGGAUGGUAGCCACUGAGAUGAGAUCUUUGGUUGUAAUACAUUAUCCAGCUGUGCCCUUCUGAAUGUGCACAUUUCUGAAUAUCUAGUGUGUCUCAAUAAAAAUGAUACAGUA